rnacentral:lncRNA from 10 species
CUCUAAGUUUUGAGGAUUCAUCCAUGUGAUGUUACAUCUAAAUCUGGUACAUCUGCCUGCAUCGUGGUGCUCCGUGGUGAGCCUGCACACUUUCUUUCCAUGAUGGAUACACAGAUUGCUUUCCACCAACACCAGUAAGUCUUCAAUGAACAUGUCCCCUUGAGGAUCUGUAUAAGAAUUUUCCUGGGACAAAUAACCAGAAGUCAAAUUUCCACUUCACAAGAAUUUGCCGACCACAUUUGAUCCCAGCAAUGUCUUGGUGCUGACUCAGCAGAGCCAGGUGGGCUCCUUAGAGCCUCUCCUCCACUAGCACUGCCCAAAGAUGCUUGGCAGCUGUCAGGUAGCACUUCUGCUACCUGGGCCCCUUCAAGGGGUAGGCCCCAAGAAAAAAGAAGGCAACUCACCAGCCAGAACUUCUCAUCCAGCCCUCCUGGCAUAGAAGGAACAUCUUUUAUUCUUUGUGGGUAUUGCCAAGUGGGGGACAGCCACUUGUUUCCUCCUCAGGGGAAACAGAGCUCCAAACUUUACUGUCACUGGCUCCCUAGAACAAGCCUCAGCUUCUCAACCUGAGCAAAAAAGUGGUUAAAGCAGAUGGUGUCUGAAAACUAUCAACUACCAAAUCCCAGCACCCAAUAACUCAGAUGUUUAUUUUGGAAGUCACUGCCUUCCUCCAAAAGAUUCUGAUUCAGGACAGAUGGUGCAGAGACUCUUGGAGAGUGAAUUCCCCAAUGUGUUUAGAGGAUGGUCAGGAGAGGAUAGUGCAUUUGCUUUCUUUCUGGGAAUUUUAUUAGCUGCUAUAGGAACAGCCUUUGCUAAAGGCCACCUUCCCUUGGCUGGAAACCUGAGGAGGUGGCCGGCAGCUGCGCCCCCUGGUGGCCAUUCUGUGGUCAGGCUGGUCCUGGGAGAUGAAACUUCACCUUCACAGUAGACAAGAGCCCAAAACGCGGAGCACGGAAAGUGCCUGCUGCACAUAGCAGGGCAGGGGCAGAGCCUGCAAACUGGGGAGGCCUCCCAGCCCCCAGGGCAUUGUUGUGACUGCUAUUUUGGUUGGGGGUUAGUACUAAAGACUAUUUGAGCCCUUGCGCCUGUCUAGGCCUCACUGGACAAGAUGACCUGACUUUCACUUCUUUCAACAACCCCCUCCCAUUAUGUCAGGCCCACAUCACACUGUCUAGCAAAGGAUCCAUAACUCGGAAUUUUUCACAUAAGUGCAAAGACACAUGUUAAUAAACACUUUAGAUUUAUUCUGCCAUUUCUGAAG